UAGGGAAUCUUCCGCAAUGGACGAAAGUCUGACGGAGCAACGCCGCGUGAGUGAAGAAGGAUUUCGGUUCGUAAAACUCUGUUGUUAGGGAAGAAAAAAUGUAUAGUAACUAUAUACAAAAGAGACGGUACCUAACCAGAAAGCCACGGCUAACUACGUGCCAGCAGCCGCGGUAAUACGUAGGUGGCAAGCGUUGUCCGGAAUUAUUGGGCGUAAAGCGCGCGCAGGUGGUUUAGAAAGUCUGAUGUGAAAGCCCACGGCUCAACCGUGGAGGGUCAUUGGAAACUAAUAACCUUGAGUGCAGGAGAGAAAAGUGGAAUUCCUAGUGUAGCGGUGAAAUGCGUGAGAUUAGGAGGAACACCGGUGGCGAAAGCGGCUUUUUGGCCUGCAACUGACACUGAGGCGCGAAAGCGUGGGGAGCAAACAGG
rnacentral:rRNA from 1 species